UACGGAGGAUCCAAGCGUUAUCCGGAUUUAUUGGGUUUAAAGGGUCCGUAGGCGGACUCGUAAGUCAGUGGUGAAAUCUCAUAGCUUAACUAUGAAACUGCCAUUGAUACUGCGGGUCUUGAGUAAGGUAGAGGUAGCUGGAAUAAGUAGUGUAGCGGUGAAAUGCAUAGAUAUUACUUAGAACACCAAUUGCGAAGGCAGGUUACCAUGUCUUAACUGACGCUGAUGGACGAAAGCGUGGGGAGCGAACAGG
rnacentral:rRNA from 1 species